UGGACAUGAUGGAUCCACGGAUGUACAGC
rnacentral:piRNA from 1 species